UCGAUCGUCAAUAAACGCGGCUCGUAUGUCGAAACGUCCGGGACCUUCGCGGCGGUCAAACGUACUUCGCGCGCCGCGCACUUUGUCGGAUGUUCAGUACGCUUCCGGCCGCCGCGCGACGCGCACAUCGCGGCACGCACAUCCGUCCGCCAUUUGCGAUUUAUCUCGACUAGUUCAAACGUGCCUCUUCGCUCCUUGCAAUAUUCAAUAAGACUUUCAAUAAGAUAUCGCGUCACUUAACACGUAUACUUUUGAUCGAAUCGUAUAUCCGCGAGUGUCAGUGCCAGUGUCAAUGUCAACGGAGCAGCCAGGAUUCUGAGCCGGGAAACCAAGAGGCAGGACGACGGGACGCGGGCAGGGAUACUUCGUACAUUUUCAAGAUGGUCUCGUUUUGUUGAAGAUGUAAAUUAGAAGCAGCAGAGACAUUCUCCUAUAAAUGCACGAGUUAUUACGAGAAGGGAACUCUUGUGUUACAAUCCGCCCUGUUACCUGUCAUAUAUAGCACGCACAUUGGCUGUAAAAGGACACGAGAAAGGAAUAAAAGUCGUGUUGGCGAGUGUUGAAUAUUCGGGCGUAUUUGACAUCUACUCUUUCAUAACUUGGAUCAUAUACGAUGGAUCACAUCCGCCAAGGACAGCGCAUGACGCCUACAAACUAUCGGCAUAAAUUAUAAUUUCGAGAUGGUUGCCAAAUCAAUUGAUACCGAUCGUAGUACAGUUACACUAAAAAUAUGUACACCGCAAUUUGACGUCUCUUACGUUUGUUGCUUUUAAGAGCAACAACCAGAAAUAGAUAAAAUUCUUAUAAUAUUAUUCUGAUGUUUGAUU